rnacentral:rRNA from 1 species
UACGUAGGGUGCGAGCGUUAAUCGGAAUUACUGGGCGUAAAGCGUGCGUAGGCGGUUUCAUAGGCUUGAUGUGAAAGCCCCGGGCUCAACCUGGGAAUGGCAUUGAGGACUGUGGAGCUAGAGUGCGGCAGAGGGAGGUGGAAUUCCACGUGUAGCAGUGAAAUGCGUAGAGAUGCGGAGGAACACCGAUGGCGAAGGCAGCCCCCUGGGUCGACACUGACGCUCAGGCACGAAAGCGUGGGGAGCAAACAGG